rnacentral:rRNA from 1 species
AUUGAACGCUGGCGGCAGGCCUAACACAUGCAAGUCGAGCGAGCGGCGGACGGGUGAGUAAUGUCUGGGAAACUGCCUGAUGGAGGGGGAUAACUACUGGAAACGGUAGCUAAUACCGCAUACCAUCAGAUGUGCCCAACUUGGAUUAGCUAGUGGGUGGGGUAAUGGCUCACCGAGGCGAAGAUCCCUAGCUGGUCUGAGAGGAUGACCAGCCACACGUGAACGGAGACACGGUCCAGACUCCUACGGGAGGCAGCAGUGGGGAAUAUUGCACAAUGGGCGCAAGCCUGAUGCAGCCAUGCCGCGUGUGUGAAGAAGGCCUUCGGGUUUUAAAGCACUUUCAGCGGGGAGGCGUUACUCGCAGAAGAAGCACCGGCUAACUCCGUGCCAGCAGCCGCGGUAAUAC